rnacentral:tRNA from 1 species
GGUUGUGGCUUAGCGGUAGAGUGCCCGCCUACCAAGUGCGAGGCACUGGGUUCAAUCCUCAGCACCA